rnacentral:rRNA from 1 species
AUGCAACGAGGAAAUUGGUCUGAUAAUCCUAGUCGUUCCUUCUGUAGAGAAACAGAGUCAUCUCAACAUCUUUUCUUCACAUGUCCAGUGGCUCGGGUGGUCUGCCAAUCCAUCGGAGUGGUGCUUGGGACUGACUUGUGUCCGAACAAUUACUGGCAGUAUUUUGCAUGGUGCUACACUUUUCUCCCUCAUGGGGAAAAGUUUUAUACUGUUGGCUUAGCGACUAUAUCUUGGGACAUUUGGUUAGUUCAGAAUCGAGCCACUUUUGAGAAAAAACUGAUGAAAACUCCUUUUGAGAUUGUUUUCUCCAUGUGAUCCUUCUUACUGUAUUGGGCACGUCUCCAACAGGGAGAAGAUGUGGUAAAACUUUGUUCUGGUGUUGAGAUAAUCAGAUCAAGCACGGUGAACUUGAUGAGGAUCUGCAAUGCGUCCAGGCAGCCGAUAGCAAGGGAGUGA